AGCUCCAAUAGCGUAUAUUAAAAUUGUUGCGGUUAAAACGCUCGUAGUUGGAUAUUUGUUUGGAGAAUACUGGUCUACCCCAGUGGUUAGUACUCGGUGUAUCCCCGACACCUCUUUGGUUAACUGCGUUCACUUCACUGUGCGCGCAGCAGAGCCAAAACUUUUACUUUGAGGAAAUGAGAGUGUUUCAAGCAGGCCUAGCCGUGAAUACGUUAGCAUGGAAUAAUAGCAUAGGACCCUGUGUCGUAUCUGUUGGUUGACGACACAUGGUAAUACAAAUAGGGACAGUUGGGGGCAUUCGUAUUGCAUAGUCAGAGGUGAAAUUCUUAGAUUUGUGCAAGACGGACUACUGCGAAAGCAUUUGCCAAGGAUGUUUUUAUUAAUCAAGAACG
rnacentral:rRNA from 1 species